GGAUGGAUGAGUGGAUUGAGGGGUGGAAUGGGUGGGUGGAUGGAUGGAAGCGCAACUAUAUUGGCUACCCCAAAAUGAAUCUACUAUCCUCAUGAUGGACUGGAUUUAUGAUGAUUCUUUCCAGAACCAGAGCAAUGGACAAAGAUGACCUCAGAGCAUCCCUUCCAGAAUAAGUUGUCUAGUAUUCUACGUAUGUCUACAGAAAAAAAGAAAUGUGCAGUCUACAGAAAAGCAAGAAAACACUUUAUAACUAUUCUAUUGAGAGGGGCCUUCCAAAGGUCACUCCAUCUAUCCCCCUCUCUGUGGCAGAAUGUCAAGAGCAAUUUUUAACACACACCAUCUAAUCUAAAGAAACCCACAUAUGCAUGCAUCCAAAUCAGACUUUCCAGAAGAAAGGGAGGAGUACAUGUGCAUCUACCCUACCACCUCUUGCCUUCUGGCUGGGGGAAUGGAAAAACUCAUCAUCAGUAUAGCUGCUGCCCCUGGAGCCAAGGGCACAGCCACAGAGCCAAGUCUCUGUGAAAUGCAUCAGAUCAAACUCAAUGAUCAAUAAUAAAAUCAACAGCCUUCUCAAAGCCAAAGGGGUUGAAAUUCAGAAGGGGCAAUAUUGUAAUUUCUCCUGGGGCUAUACAGCAUGCUCAUUUUUGAGAUUUACAGCCUUUAACCAAUCCUCUGGAUGCAAGGCAUCAUGCUAAGAAGUCAAGGUUUUUGACUAGGUGAGAGACCAGGUUCAGGUGAGUCACAAUACAACAAUUAAAGGGGUUUAUGGACCCCCAGCCCCCCAUCACUCCCUCCAGCUCCAACAGGAGAAAUAUAAACCCCUUAUGAGGGCUAACCAAUCAAACCAUAAAAUCCAAUAGCCAUACAGUUCAGCUGGAAGAAUGUUCCUUUGUUAAACAAACAAUGUGUCUGGAACACUUUUUGGUCCAUUGUUCCAUUCCAGGACAGAGACUGAAGCUAUAGAAAUAAAUUAGUGAUUUCAAUCAUGCUCAUCCUGGACUGAUCCUACUGGCACAUGGAAACUUCCUGGCUGGGGCUGAAGAAGAGAAUUAACUCUUUCAGGCAAAGUGGAAACAUGAAGUUUUAUGAGAGAGAGAAGAAACCUUUGGUGGUGCACAGGGAUUUGAAUUCAGACUCUCCACAGCACCGGACAAUUGCGCAGUGUUGAAGUCUCAUGCUGGUCUGUAAAGCCAGGCCAGAAGAGGAACUGGGAAUAAUUAGGAUGGGAGAUUACAUCCAACUUACAGUUUGUGGAUUCUACCCCUGAAUUCUAUCCACAAAACCCUCAAGAUUCAAGAACCCUUGAUGCUGUCAUAUGGCCCCAGGAGUCAUCAGAUAUAAGCACCCUAAGAAGCUGUCCAGGGGUAGCAGGGAGACUCUGUCUUCAGUGAAGGAGGACACUUAAGGCUGAAGUGGCCCCAAGAACCACCCUCAUCAUCUGUCAAGCCCAGAUAUAACCAUUCUGUAUCCUCAGACCUCAAAGCCUUAAAGACUCUGUCUACCACGUACACCACCCACUUCAGCUAAACCUUUCACACUUGCACAGUCCACGCCAGCAUCUCAGCAUCCUGAGGGUGAGUUCUUCCUGGAGAUCUGACAAGGGUAGGAAACAGAGCUCACCCACUCCUGCUGGACCCCAGCAUCUGCGGGCAGGGAGAGGGAAGUUGAUUUCACCCAGACCUUCACAACAGAGUUAAGCCUUCCCAGUCCAUCAGACCAUCGGUCACUCUCCCAGGACUCUUUUCUCACCUCUGUUACUGCACUUUUAGACCCUAUUUGAUUCUCCCAGGUCAGGUCUGCUUCCCUUGAAAGCAGGGGCCAUGUCUUAUUCACCUCAGCAUCCUCAGCUCCCAGCCCACCCAGGACCCAGCACCUAGUAGGUGCUCAGUAAAUGUCUGCUACAUGAAAAGCAGGAGAGAGGGGCCAGAGACUGAGCCUGGCAGGUCCCUCCUGGCAGUUGCUUUACAGCUGCUGUGACUGCCCAACCAGCCCCAGACCGAUAAAGACCCUGAACUUAUCAAGUGACAAAUGCAGAAGGGCUUUCCUUCUCAAUGUGUGUCUCAGAGCCCAAAACAUCUAGCAGUGCCAUGAAGAGGGACGAUUAGCAAGAUAGAAACCAACUGUCCCCCGAGUCUCUCUUCACCAAAUGCAGACAUUGAUGUGAAUGACAGUAGGAAGCACGGGUGAUACUCAAGAUAUUUAACAACCAGCAUAACACAUUGCGAAUCAGGGCAGGCACCAGCCACGAACACCAAGUACAGUCGUACCAGGAAUACCAGUCAGAUAGGGAGAUAAUAACUUUGCUAGGAGGAAGACAGACUAACGCAAGGAAGCCAGACUCCCUUAGCUUAUUUGUCUGCAUAGACUCUAUAAUGUCAGUAUUUAAUCUGAUUAAGGCAUUAACCAGCAGUCUGACCUUGUGCCAGUCACAUAUUCUCUCUGGGCUUCAGUUCCCGCUCUAAGAUGAAAUUGAAAGAAAUUAUCCAAGCUGUUGUUACAACUAUAAUGUCCUAUGAUCCCAUCUUCUCACACAUCACAGGUGGCACCCAGUAACAAAGAAAAUCAGCAAAGCACACAGCUGGCUAAGGUGAUGCACAGACCAGAAACCCUUGACAAGGACAACCGUGACAUUCGUUGAGCCAUAGCAUCUGGUACUGCAGUUUGGGAUAUGGCAGAUCAAAGCCCAGAAACCUCCUUCCAACCCCUUCUGAGGAAUCCUAGAGAUCUCCAGAAGCACCCUGUCAGUUGGUAAAAGACUCCAGACAUAAAGGACUUGGUAAAGAGCCACACCCAGCUCCCUUCCUCCUCCGUGUAAACCCUCAGCCUGCUUUUCACUAGACCCACUGCCCAGCUUUGUGCAAAACCUGGACACUGCUCAUCUCUGUGGCUGGGUGAGUGCCACCUCCUGGGGAGUAUGAGAGAAUAAAGAACAAGAGGAGCAGAAGCAAGAAGACCUUAUUUCAAGGCCCAGCCCUGCUACUCACCCACUUGACAAGGUGCUUUACGUUUCCUAGUCGGUGAGAAGGGACAUUAGCUGCUCUAACCUCCUCAGGGUUGGGGAGGUUGGGGUGGGGGGAGGCUAAAACGAGCAUCAGAGGAGAAUGCUGAAGGUUAAUGUUUUCAUUAUAGAGUCUUUGGAGAUGGAAAUAGACAUGUACCUGGAUUUGGGGGCUUGGAGGCUUGCCUUGCCCCUCCCUGCUUUCCCUGUGCAUCCCCACCCCAGGCUGCCCGGAGGCGUCCCCUCUGAGAUCAAAUCCAGCCAGCCCUACUGUGCCUCCCUGUCUCAGCUGUGCGGUCCCAGGGGCAGGGGCUGCAGAGUUCUUUGUUGUGUUCCCCAAAGAUCCCUCGGGGUAGGAAAGAGGCAAGGGAGAAGCCCAAGGUCCCAGCCUGCUGCCUCAGGGUGGGACAAGCAGGACAGGAACACAGCCAAAGCCAGAGGGAAAUCAUCGCAUCUUCCCCAGUCAUUAGUGUGAGCAGCAGCGGCACGACUGUUCCUACACUCAGGAGAGCAUGGCAGCGUCACGAAUAAACAGUAGAGACGAGGGCAUCAUUAAAACCCAUAUUUGCAUUUUCCCUGCGUUUGCUAUAUCCUUUCCUAGGAACACAAGCAACCAUCCCACUCCAGAGGAGAAAAUAGCCUCAUUUUAUAAUGGAGUCAAUGGGGGCCUGGAGAUCCCCAUCCCAUAGAAAUACACCACGCCCCGAUCCAGCACCAGCAGCCUGCCCUCUGUGGAUGUCCAAGACGGAGCAACGGGCAGGAAGGCCUCCAGGGGACGCUGUCACCCUAGAAAACCAAACAGCAAGGUUUUCCUAAGGAUUCUAAGCCCUAGUUUCCCCAGCAAAGCAAAACCAAGCCAGACUUGAGAAUUAUAAGAGGAGAACUGCUUCAAGACAAGUUUUAUAUAGGUAAGAGUGAGGAAGACAGCGGCAAGUCUGAGUGUUCGCCCUGUGAGGUGAUGGACUGAUCUGGGUCCCAAAAAAUGGUCACCCAGGGCCAACCUGUGCUUCAGAGGCCACAGAGCAGCCUCCAGGGAGGGCAAAAAGCCCAGAGUCCAGUGGGCUCACGGCCCUGGCGCCACACGCUCCUUCUGGAAAGGAAGAAUAGGUACUCCGUAAAUCAGUCCCGCUUUGAAUACGUAACUGCUGACCUCUGCAGAGAAUCUCUGUGAAUUCUGGGGAGGGAGGAAGAGAAAACUACUAUAAAGUGCUUGGUUGGUUCUCCUCGGGAUGACAAGGAUCCCAGAAGCUCCAAAGCUCAGACAGGGUCCAAAUCCCAGCAGGACCCCUUAGUGGCAGCGUGACCUUGGCCAAGCCACUUGGCCUGUCUCCUCCAAGAUGGGAAUAACAGCCCCUUGCAGGGUAUUCAUGAAGACUAAAUGAGCACAAGUGAAAGCAAAACCACACGUGAUGAGGCUCACAAAAGGCACUCAGAAAAGUCCGUUUUCUUCCUUAAAACCAUAGAUUAAAUCUCACUCUAAAGACAGAAUUUCUGAAAGUCACCCCGACCUCUUCCUGAAAAGGAGGUGGAAAGUGGGAUGGCGACAGAGCCUGAGAAACAGUGGCAGCUGGUUUUAAGAAAGUGAAGCCUUUGGGACGCCGAGACAGGCGGAUCACACAGUCAGGAGUUGGAGACCAGCCUCAGCAACAUGGUGAA
rnacentral:lncRNA from 1 species